rnacentral:lncRNA from 1 species
CCUCCACGAGCUCCCUCUCCCUUAUCCCGCCACCGGCCACCCCACCACGGCCCCAACCUCUUCGGUUCCUCCUUCCACCCUGCCACGGCCCCAACCUCGCCGGCUCGAGUGCUACCGGCCUCCAUUGUUGCUCAGCCCACCGGCCAUCGCAGGUAGCAGUGCCGGACCCGAAGGGCCACGUCUCCAACCUCGUCGGCUCGAGCACCACCGGUGGCCUCAUGUGCUUGCCCCAUAGGAUGUCGCAGGAAGCAGUGCCGGAUGCAGAGGGCCAUGGCCCUAACCUCGCCAGCACCUCCUCCCACCUUGCCAGCAUCAUGCGAGGCCACAACCCUGCCAUAUUAUAAUCCCACCUCGCUGGCUCCUCCCCCCACCACGUCGGCAUCAAGCUCCUCCUCGCCCCACCUCGCCGGCUUCAAGAUCCACCUCGUCUCAGCUCCUCCACCCACCUCGCCAUGUCUCUAGCGCCACCGGCCGCCGUCACCUCUCGCCCCAUCGGCCGUCACAGGGAGCCGGACAUGGAGGGCCACUGCCACUCGCCCCCAUCGGGUCCAGGGCGUCGAACGGCUCCAUGGCUAGAAAGAAUGUUGUAGCUGCAAUUUUUUAAAUCGUACAAAAAAUGUUGAUUUUCAUAUGUGUAAAUUUGUUGUAUAAAUCAGUCUAUAAAGAAUGUUGUAGCUGGGAAUUUUUGAUGGUUAGGUGUGAUGUGCAUCGAUUCUAAUAAAUUUGUUGUGUAAAUUGAUGUAUAAAGAAUUUUGUGGAAAAUGUUCUAACAUUCAGCUGUCCUGCCAUUUCUUAAAUUAAACAAAAAUCUUUGCCAUCUAUUAAUUAGUUUGGUUGAUGGCAAAGAUUGUGUAUUCACUCACGGCAAAAGAAGUACCUUUGACGUGUGUUACUGAGGUUGGAAGACGACAAAGUCUUUGUUGUAUGCCC